ACCUUUCAAAUCAGGGUGCGGCGCGGCCCCCGAGGAGCGGAAACAAUCCUUGGGAGGUAUGCGGGGGCUUCGAGCCUCCCAUUUACGCACGCACGACUGCCAUCCUUACUUUACGAGCACCUUCUGUUCUCCCUCGGCGGGGCAACCUGCCGUUGGAACCGAAUAAACUCUUUUUGCAUCUAGCAUUACCUGUUCCGAAACAAACAAUCGUUA
rnacentral:misc_RNA from 1 species